GCCCGGGUAGCUCAGUUGGUAGAGCAGCGGAUUGAAAAUCCGCGUGUCACUGGUUCGAUUCCGGUCCCGGGCACCA
rnacentral:tRNA from 33 species